rnacentral:tRNA from 1 species
UUUUGAAUAUUUUAAUUAAAAUACUUAACUGUUACUUAAGAGAUAGGUUUUCUUUCAAAAG